rnacentral:rRNA from 1 species
CCUACGGGUGGCUGCAGUGAGGAAUAUUGGUCAAUGGGCGCUAGCCUGACCCAGCCAAGUCGCGUGAAGGAUGACUGCCCUCUGGUUGGUAAACUUCUUUUCUAUGGGAGUACAGUGCAGGAUACAUACUGCUUUGCCUAUACCUUAUUACUAAGCAGCGGCUAACGCCGUGCCAGCCGCCGCGGUAAUACGGAGGAUGCGAGCGUUCUCCGGAUUUAUUGGGUGUAAAGGGAGCGUAGGCGGGAUGUUAAGUCAGAUGUGAACGUUGGAGGCUCAACCUUCAAAUUGCAGUUGAAACUGGGUGUCUUGAGUACUGGAGAGGCAGGCGGAAUUCGUUGUGUAGCGGUGAAAUGCGUAGAUAUAACGAAGAACACCGAUUGCGAAGGCAGUCUACUGGACAGCAACUGACGGUGAUGCGCGAAAGCGUGGGUAGCAAACAGGAUUAGAUACCCUUGUAGUC